GCGGAUGUGGCUCAGUUGGUAGAGCAUCACCUUGCCAAGGUGAGGGUCGCGGGUUCAAGUCCCGUCAUCCGCUCGA
rnacentral:tRNA from 1 species